AAGAGAGAGUCAAAAGACCGUGAAACCGCUCAGAGUAUAAGCCAAUGGAGCUUGGAAGGCUUCCGCAGUGUCGGCCAUCUAUAUGGUGUGUCGUGAGGCAUGUAGCGCGGUUCGUUGGGCGGAGCAUUUGAGUAUGCCGCUUAGCUUACGUGCGGGGAAGCGGUUUUGGGGUCUUAGGCUUCGCGGCCGAAGGGCUCCUGGCCGUUUCCUUUAGAAUGAACGUUCAGAGCUACUGUGUCCUUAUGCGGUUACGCCCACCACGGCACGUUGUGAGGUCACCCACAGGCUCAAACUGCCGAUCGCGAAUCCAGGACGAUGGCAACGAUGCGUUGUUCACGGCUCGAUCUCUAGUGGAGCCGAUACACGCGUGUCUAGUCCUGGGUCGGGCGGCGACCGAGUUAAACCUGGUAUGAUCCUCUUGCGACGAGCUGCUUUCUGGCCAGACCGACGUCCGGGCGCUUCCACUGUGCCGGAAGCGUCUAUCCCAGGCGGUAUGACCCAGCUGCAUUUUGCAAGGUCUCUCAGCCGGGCGUUGGUCUGAGUGGUGUCAAGUCCAGCACCAUCGGUCACGUCUCGAAACACGGGCCAAGGAGUAUAGCAUGUGUGCAAGUCUAAGGGUCUCCCAAAACCCGAAGGCGAAGUGAAAGCAAGACUGUGGCGGGGGAGCUACGGCGAACCCGCCGGCCUUGAGGCACACACUCUGUGUGUGUUGCUCGGCUUUUAGCAGAGCUGAUCCUGCUUCUCGGUUAAUUCUUGGUGCAGGCGCAAGCUCCGGGCUCACGUACAACACUGGUCACACACACCUCGUGUGUGUGUGGCUGUGUUGUGAGCACCGUUUAGCA
rnacentral:rRNA from 1 species